rnacentral:lncRNA from 1 species
UGGCUGAUGGUUUUUUGAUAGGAGUAUCCUCCUUUGUUGAGAUGAGAUCCCUCGGAUCUUCGAUGUAGUUUGUUUUUCACUUAUUGCUGGUGUGGUUCGUCGCUUUUCCUUUUCAUCUCCUCCCCUUUUUUUUUAUGUUCGAGUGAGGGUUUUCCCUCUGCUCUUAAUGUGGUCGUGACAGCAUAGAGAAGCCGUUGAGGAGGCUUUCCUCCUCAUCC